UACAGAGGGUGCAAGCGUUGUUCGGAAUUAUUGGGCGUAAAGCGCGUGUAGGCGGCUUUGCAAGUCGGGUGUGAAAGCCCUCAGCUCAACUGAGGAAGUGCGCCCGAAACUGCAGAGCUUGAGUGCCGGAGAGGGUGGCGGAAUUCCCCAAGUAGAGGUGAAAUUCGUAGAUAUGGGGGAGGAACACCGGUGCGAAGGCGGCCACCUGGACGGUAACUGACGCUGAGACGCGAAAGCGUGGGGAGCGAACAGG
rnacentral:rRNA from 1 species